rnacentral:rRNA from 1 species
UGGGGAAUCUUGGACAAUGGGCGCAAGCCUGAUCCAGCCAUGCCGCGUGAGUGAAGAAGGCCUUCGGGUUGUAAAGCUCUUUUGUCAGGGACGAUAAUGACGGUACCUGAAGAAUAAGCCCCGGCAAACUUCGUGCCAGCAGCCGCGGUAAUACGAAGGGGGCUAGCGUUGUUCGGAAUUACUGGGCGUAAAGCGCACGUAGGCUGAUUGUUAAGUCAGGGGUGAAAUCCCAGAGCUCAACUCUGGAACUGCCCUUGAUACUGGCAAUCUCGAGUCUGGAAGAGGUUAGUGGAAUUCCCAGUGUAGAGGUGAAAUUCGUAGAUAUUGGGAAGAACACCAGUGGCGAAAGGCGGCUAACUGGUCCGGUACUGACGCUGAGGUGCGAAAGCG